GACGAACGCUGGCGGCGUGCUUAACACAUGCAAGUCGAACGGAAAGGCCUCUUUCGGGGGGUACUCGAGUGGCGAACGGGUGAGUAACACGUGAGUAACUUGCCCUUGACUUUGGGAUAACUUCAGGAAACUGGGGCUAAUACCGGAUAGGAGCUCCUGCUGCAUGGUGGGGGUUGGAAAGUUUCGGCGGUUGGGGAUGGACUCGCGGCUUAUCAGCUUGUUGGUGGGGUAGUGGCUUACCAAGGCUUUGACGGGUAGCCGGCCUGAGAGGGUGACCGGCCACAUUGGGUCUGAGAUACGGCCCAGACUCCUACGGGAGGCAGCAGUGGGGAAGAUUGCACAAUGGGUGGAAGCCUGAUGCAGCAACGCCGUGUGCGGGAUGACUGCCUUCGGGUUGUAAACCGCUUUCGCUCAUGACGAAGCUUUGUGUGACGGUAGUGGGUAAAGAAGCACCGGCUAACUACGUG
rnacentral:rRNA from 1 species